UACGGGGGGGGCAAGCGUUGUUCGGAAUUACUGGGCGUAAAGGGCUCGUAGGCGGCCAACUAAGUCGGACGUGAAAUCCCUCGGCUCAACCGGGGAACUGCGUCCGAUACUGGAUGGCUCGAGUCCGGGAGAGGGAUGCGGAAUUCCAGGUGUAGCGGUGAAAUGCGUAGAUAUCCGGAGGAACACCUGUGGCGAAAGCGGCUUCCUGGUCCGACACCGACGUUCAGGCACGAAAGCGUGGGGAGCAAACAGG
rnacentral:rRNA from 1 species